rnacentral:rRNA from 1 species
GGGCGUGCUAAUCUGCGAUAAGCGCCGGUAAGGUGAUAUGAACCGUUAUAACCGGCGAUACCCGAAUGGGGAAACCCAGUGUGACUCGUCACACUAUCAUUAACUGAAUCCAUAGGUUAAUGAGGCGAACCGGGGGAACUGAAACAUCUAAGUACCCCGAGGAAAAGAAAUCAACCGAGAUUCCCCCAGUAGCGGCGAGCGAACGGGGAGGAGCCCAGAGCCUGAAUCAGCAUGUGUGUUAGUGGAAGCGUCUGGAAAGGCGCGCGAUACAGGGUGACAGCCCCGUACACAAAAGCGCAUGUGCUGUGAGCUCGAUGAGUAGGGCGGGACACGUGGUAUCCUGUCUGAAUAUGGGGGGACCAUCCUCCAAGGCUAAAUACUCCUGACUGACCGAUAGUGAACCAGUACCGUGAGGGAAAGGCGAAAAGAACCCCGGCGAGGGGAGUGAAAAAGAACCUGAAACCGUGUACGUACAAGCAGUGGGAGCACCCUUUGGG